rnacentral:rRNA from 1 species
UAACAAGGAUUCCCCUAGUAACGGCGAGUGAAGAGGGAAGAGCCCAAGAUUGAAAGCUGGCGUCUUCGGCGUCCGCAUUGUAAUCUCAAGAAAUGUUUUCCGCUUCGGACCAAGCCUAAGUCCCUUGGAAAGGGGCAUCAUAGAGGGUGAUAAUCCCGUACAUGGCUUGGAGCGCCCGUAGCUUUGUGAUACACUUUCUAAGAGUCGAGUUGUUUGGGAAUGCAGCUCAAAAUGGGUGGUAAAUGCCAUCUAAGGCUAAAUAUUGGGGAGAGACCGAUAGCGAACAAGUACAGUGAUGGAAAGAUGAAAAGAACUUUGAAAAGUGAGUUAAACAGUACGUGAAAUUGCCAAAAGGGAAGGGUAGGAGGUCAGAGAUGCGGCCUAGGAUUCAGCCUUGCUUUUGCUUGGUGUUUUUCCUAGAUUGCAGGCCAACGUCGGUUUUGGGCACUGGAGAAGGGUGGAAGGAACGUGGCACCUCUCGGGGUGUGUUAUAGCCUUCUACUGGAUACAGCGACCGAGACCGAGGACAGCAGCGUACUCGCAAGAGCGGGCGUUCGGGCACCUUUACGCUUAGGGCGUU